rnacentral:pre_miRNA from 1 species
AGCUUUUUGAAACCGUGUAUAGAUUUCGUCAGAUACCAACCAAUUAGGACUGAUCAGACUUCCAAGAUAAGUGAAGUU